GAAAGAGAACUGCCAGACUGCUAAUCUGAACCACCAAAACUAACCCUUUGGCUCAUUCA
rnacentral:tRNA from 1 species